AGAGUUUGAUCCUGGCUCAGAAUCAACGCUGGCGGCGUGCCUAACACAUGCAAGUCGAACGAGAAAGUGGAGCAAUCCAUGAGUAAAGUGGCGCACGGGUGAGUAACACGUGACUAACCUACCCUUGAAGUGGGGGAUAACCUAGAAGAAAUCUGGGCUAAUACCGCAUAAUACCUACGGGUCAAAGGAGCAAUUCGCUUAAGGAGGGGGUCCCGCGGUCGAUUAGUUAGUUGGCGGGGUAAUGGCCCACCAAGAACUGUGAUCCAUAUUCGGCCUGAAAAGGCGCCCGGAAACACGGGAACUGAAACACGGUCCAGACUCCUACGGGAGGCAGCAGUGGGGAAUUUUGCGCAAUGGGGGAAACCCUGACGCAGCAACGCCGCGUGGAGGAUGAAGUCCUUCGGGACGUAAACUCCUUUCGAUCGGGACGAUUAUGACGGU
rnacentral:rRNA from 1 species